rnacentral:rRNA from 1 species
ACGCUGGCGGCAGGCCUAACACAUGCAAGUCGAGCGGUAGAGAGAGGCUUGCUUCUCUUGAGAGCGGCGGACGGGUGAGUAAUGCCUAGGAAUCUGCCUGGUAGUGGGGGAUAACGUUCGGAAACGGACGCUAAUACCGCAUACGUCCUACGGGAGAAAGCAGGGGACCUUCGGGCCUUGCGCUAUCAGAUGAGCCUAGGUCGGAUUAGCUAGUUGGUGAGGUAAUGGCUCACCAAGGCGACGAUCCGUAACUGGUCUGAGAGGAUGAUCAGUCACACUGGAACUGAGACACGGUCCAGACUCCUACGGGAGGCAGCAGUGGGGAAUAUUGGACAAUGGGCGAAAGCCUGAUCCAGCCAUGCCGCGUGUGUGAAGAAGGUCUUCGGAUUGUAAAGCACUUUAAGUUGAGAGGAAGGGCAGUUACCUAAUACGUAUCUGUUUUGACGUUACCGACAGAAUAAGGACCGGCUAACUCUGUGCCAGCAGCCGCGGUAAUACAGAGGGUGCAAGCGUUAAUCGGAAUUACUGGGCGUAAAGCGCGCGUAGGUGGUUUGUUAAGUUGAAUGUGAAAUCCCCGGGCUCAACCUGGGAACUGCAUGCAAAACUGGCAAGCUAGAGUAUGGUAGAGGGUGGUGGAAUUUCCUGUGUAGCGGUGAAAUGCGUAGAUAUAGGAAGGAACACCAGUGGCGAAGGCGACCACCUGGACUGAUACUGACACUGAGGUGCGAAAGCGUGGGGAGCAAAC